rnacentral:tRNA from 1 species
GGAAGCGUGGCAGAGUGGUCGAUUGCACCGGUCUUGAAAACCGGCGAGGGUUUAUCCCCUCCGUGAGUUCGAAUCUCACCGCUUCCGCCA